rnacentral:rRNA from 1 species
ACGAACGCUGGCGGCGUGCUUAACACAUGCAAGUCGAACGGAAAGGCCCUGCUUUUGUGGGGUGCUCGAGUGGCGAACGGGUGAGUAACACGUGAGUAACCUGCCCUUGACUUUGGGAUAACUUCAGGAAACUGGGGCUAAUACCGGAUAGGAGCUCCUGCUGCAUGGUGGGGGUUGGAAAGUUUCGGCGGUUGGGGAUGGACUCGCGGCUUAUCAGCUUGUUGGUGGGGUAGUGGCUUACCAAGGCUUUGACGGGUAGCCGGCCUGAGAGGGUGACCGGCCUCAUUGGGACUGAGAUACGGCCCAGACUCCUACGGGAGGCAGAAGUGGGGAAUAUUGCACAAUGGGCGGAAGCCUGAUGCAGCAACGCCGCGUGCGGGAUGACGGCCUUCGGGUUGUAAACCGCUUUCGCCUGUGACGAAGCGUGAGUGACGGUAAUGGGUAAAGAAGCACCGGCUAACUACGUG